rnacentral:rRNA from 1 species
UACGUAGGGGGCUAGCGUUGUCCGGAUUUAUUGGGCGUAAAGAGCUCGUAGGCGGUUCCGUAAGUCAGAUGUGAAAACUCAGGGCUCAACCCGGAGACGCCAUCUGAUACUGCGGUGACUGGAGUCUGGUAGGGGAACACGGAAUUCCUGGUGUAGCGGUGAAAUGCGCAGAUAUCAGGAAGAACACCCGUGGCUAAGGCGGCUCUCUAGUACGGUACUGACGCUGAGACGUGAAAGCGUGGGGAGCGAACAGG